GGAGCUCAAGGAAAGGAAUAAUAGAAAUGGAGUAGAGGAAAAGAUCCAAAGGGGAAGGGAAGGGAAGAGUAAGAUAAUGCAUAAUGGCAGGGGCAUGCGUGGGGACGGAAGAGCAGAGUGGGGGGAUGAGCUGGCUAACACUGCGCACACGUACACUUAGCUAUUGCCCAUUUGCCAUUUGCCAGCAAAGCGCAUCUCUGUCAAUUAUUAUUAUUCCAUCUCUUUGUCCUUUCUACUUCUCCUCUUCCCUUGUGAGGGUUUUUCUUUUUCUUUUUUCUUUUUUCUUUUUU
rnacentral:lncRNA from 1 species